GUCCCUGUAUCGUAAUGGAUAGUGCGUUGGACUUCUAAUCCAAAUGUCGUGUGUUCGAAUCCCAUCUGGGACG
rnacentral:tRNA from 1 species